rnacentral:rRNA from 1 species
CAUGCAAGUCGAGCGAGAAACUAACUUCGGUUAGUGGACAGCGGCGCACGGGUGAGUAACGCGUGGGAAUUUACCUUUCGGCGGGGGACAACAGUUGGAAACGACUGCUAAUACCGCAUACGCCCUACGGGGGAAAGAUUUAUCACCGAAAGAUAGGCCCGCGUUAGAUUAGGUAGUUGGUAGGGUCAAAGCCUACCAAGCCGACGAUCUAUAGCUGGUUUGAGAGAACGAUCAGCCACACUGGAACUGAGACACGGUCCAGACUCCUACGGGAGGCAGCAGUGGGGAAUCAUGCACAAUGGGCGAAAGCCUGAUGCAGCCAUGCCGCGUGAGUGAGAAGGCCUUCGGGUUGUAAAACUCUUUUAGAUGUGAAGAUGAUGACGGUAACAUCAGAAAAAGCACCGGCUAACUUCGUGCCAGCAGCCGCGGUAAUACGAAGGGUGCUAGCGUUGUUCGGAAUUACUGGGCGUAAAGAGCGUGUAGGCGGCUUAGCAAGUUAGAGGUGAAAUCCCAGGGCUCAACCCUGGAACUGCCUUUGAUACUGCUAAGCUUGAGAUCGUGAGGGGAUAGCGGAAUACCCAGUGUAGAGGUGAAAUUCGU